rnacentral:lncRNA from 10 species
AGUCUCUAAGGGAGGAGGCCGGAGCGCCUCCCUGUAAUCCCGAAGGAAUUGAAAACUAACAAAGAAAAGGAAAUCACGGGCUAGGUCGCGAGUAUCUCGUUGUCACCCUGAAUUUGCUACUGCGUAUUGAAUCACAGCUUCUUGUUUGGGGACUGCGAAGCUAUGGAUCAUAGGAGGGCAAGCCAGCAGUCCUUUAUCAGACAAAUAUGCUUUUAAAUCAUUUUAAAGAUUUGUAGUUCCACUGUUUCUAAGCACUGUGUUAAUUAUUGGGGAUACUGUGCUUCAUCACAAAUUUCCAAGAGAUGGUGUCCCGAGACUAAGCAUUUAAAAUUUUGUGAAGGUUUUUUGAUUUUUUUUUUUUUUUUUUUUGAGACGAAGUCUCACUCUGUCGCCCAGGCUGAAGUGUGCAGUGGCGCGAUCCCGGCCCACUGCAACCUCUGCCUCCCGGGCUCAAGUGAUUCUCCUUCCUCAGCCUCCCGAGUAGCUGGGAUUACAGGCGUGCGCCACCAUGCCCGGCCUUAUUUUUGUUUUUUUGAGACACAACCUCACUGUCCCCCGGGAUGGAGUGAAGUGGCGCAAUCAGGGUUCACUGCAGCCUAGACCUGCUGGGCUCAAGCCAUCCUCCCACCUCAGCCUCCAAGUAGCUGGGAUUACAGGCGCACACCACCAAUGCCCAGCUAAUUUUUGUAUUUUUAGUAGAGAUGGGGUUUCCCCACAUUGCCCAGGCUGGUCUGGAACUCAUGGCCUCAAGCGAUCUGCCCCGCUCUGCCUCCCAAAGUGCUGGGAUUACAAGUGUGAGCCACCGUGUCCACCGGGGAAGGCUUUUGGUCAGAACAAUGGCUGGCAAAACCACAGGCAUCGGAAGGCCAGAGCUAGGGAUAUAAUAUAAAUGUCCCUACAGUGUAACAGAUGAUGCUACAUAAAGAAAAUCCCGUAAUACACACGAUUUCUGAAUGUCCUGCUGAACAUUCGGUGAGUGAAAACUAAUUAUCUGAGAGUUGAACCUAUCUUUGUUAAUAAACACAAAGCGGCCGGGCGCAGUGGCUCACGCCUGUAAUCCCAGCACUUUGGGAGGCCGAGGUGGGCGGAUCACAAAGUCAGGAGAUCAAGACCAUCCUGGCCAACAUGAUGAAACCCCGUCUCUAUUAAAAGUACAAAAAUUAGCUGGGCGUAGUGGCGCACGCCUGUAAUCCCAGCUACUCGGGAGGCUGAGGCAGGAGAAUCGCUUGAACCCGGGAGGCAGAGGUUGCAGUGAGCCGGGAUUGUGCCACUGCACUCCAGCCUGGUGACAGAGCGGGACUCCACCUCAAAAAAUAAAAAUUAAAAAAAUAAACACAAAGCAUUUUCCCACACUUUUAAUGUACGUUGAAGUUUCUAGGAAUGUUAUUACCCCAAAAUUGAAUAGUAAUUGUAUUUUGUUUGGUCUGGAAUUCAUUAAGAGCUGUGUACCAUUUCAAGAAAUAACGUCACCAAAAGCAACAUCACUUGUAAUAAUUUGAAUAGUGAAUAAUGAAAAAAUAACUUUGAUUUGAGGAAUGUGAGUUAAAUUAUUAGGCCCAAAGAGGCAUUAAAAUGAGAGGCAAUCACAUCCUGCUUGCCCCCUUUUGAGCUAUGUAUUUAUGUCUUAAAACCGCUUGCUAUUGCCACAAGUAUUAGUUAUAAAUUAGCCUAAUUAUGC